rnacentral:rRNA from 1 species
AUUGAACGCUGGCGGCAUGCCUUACACAUGCAAGUCGAACGGCAUCAUGAUCUAGCUUGCUAGAUUGAUGGCGAGUGGCGAACGGGUGAGUAAUACAUCGGAACGUGCCCUGUCGUGGGGGAUAACUAGUCGAAAGAUUAGCUAAUACCGCAUACGACCUGAGGGUGAAAGUGGGGGACCGCAAGGCCUCAUGCUAUAGGAGCGGCCGAUGUCUGAUUAGCUAGUUGGUGAGGUAAAGGCUCACCAAGGCGACGAUCAGUAGCUGGUCUGAGAGGACGAUCAGCCACACUGGGACUGAGACACGGCCCAGACUCCUACGGGAGGCAGCAGUGGGGAAUUUUGGACAAUGGGCGAAAGCCUGAUCCAGCAAUGCCGCGUGUGUGAAGAAGGCCUUCGGGUUGUAAAGCACUUUUGUCCGGAAAGAAAUGGCUCUGGUUAAUACCUGGGGUCGAUGACGGUACCGGAAGAAUAAGAACCGGCUAACUACGUG